rnacentral:lncRNA from 1 species
AAAGGGGAGAGGCUCCCGAUGGAUGUUCUCUGGCCUUUUAGAAAACGUGGAGUUGUUCCUUUGGCCACGUAUAUGCGAGUCUAUAAGAAAGGUGAUACUGUAGACAUCAAGGGAAUAGAUAUUGUUCAAAAAGGAAGCUCCGCAGGUGUGACCGCGGCAAAGCUGGGAGUCGACCGCGUUCUCCAGCGUGCUGUUGCAAACAGACAAGGGCAAGAUUCCUGCCGAGAGAAUUAUGUGCGUAUGGAGCACACGGAGCACUCUAAGUGGCUUCCUGAAAUGUGUGGAGGAAAAUGAUCAGAAAAAGAAAGAAGCCGCAGAGAAAGGUACCUGCUUCAACUAAAGCUGCAGCCUGCUCCACCCAGAAAAGCUCACGGUGCGAGAACCAAGGGGAAGGAACCUGAGCUGCUGGAAGCUAUUCCCUGUGAAUUCAUG